GCCCCGGGGCUCCGCGCCCCUGGCCCGCGCCCCGCGCCGCGCCUGGCCCCGAGCUCAGGCCCCGGCUCCCCGGCCCGGCCGCCCCGCGGGCCCCUCGCAGAAGUUUUGAUCGUCUUCGAAACAAAUCCCUCUGCUCCACCCCCUUGAAAAAUUGAUUUGGGAGUUGGGGAGCGAAGGCUUUCUUUUUUCUCCUCUGCCUUCUUUAUUAUUAAUAUUUUGUAAAGCUCCAGCGCUACGAGGAGUGGCCCCGAGCGAGGCCAGACUGCGCGGACGGCAGGGAGCGCGGCGGCUCCGCCAGGGGACGGCGCCGGCCGGGAGUGGCCGCUUGGGAACCCCCGACUGUCGGCCGAGAGACAAGGUCUCACUAUAUGGCCCAGGCUGGUCUCAAACGAUCUUCAUGUCUUGGCCUCCCAAAGUGCUGAGAUUACAGGCAUGAGCCACCAUGCCUGGCCCAGGUUAUUCUUAAUCUCACCUUUUAGAGGUAGAAAGUGGAGAGCCCCGCCCUGUGGGCUUUAAAUCUUGUUCCACUUCAGACACUUUCACAGCUC
rnacentral:lncRNA from 1 species